GAUGAACGCUAGCGGCAGGCCUAAUACAUGCAAGUCGAACGGUGUCUUCGGACAUAGUGGCGCACGGGUGCGUAACACGUAUGCAACCUACCUUACAUUGGGGGAUAGCCUUUCGAAAGGGAGAUUAAUACCGCAUAAGACAGUAGCUGGGCAUCCAGCAGCUGUUAAAGAUUUAUCGAUGUAAGAUGGGCAUGCGUCCAAUUAGUUAGUUGGCGAGGUAACGGCUCACCAAGACUUUGAUUGGUAGGGGAACUAAGAGGUCAAUCCCCCACACUGGCACUGAGAUACGGGCCAGACUCCUACGGGAGGCAGCAGUAGGGAAUAUUGGGCAAUGGACGCAAGUCUGACCCAGCCAUGCCGCGUGCAGGAUGAAGGCGUUAUGCGUUGUAAACUGCUUUUAUACAGGAAGAAACGACUCUUGCGAGAGGCAUUGACGGUACUGUAUGAAUAAGCACCGGCUAACUCCGUGCCAGCCGCCGCGGUAAGAC
rnacentral:rRNA from 1 species